GUCUAGAUAGCUCAGGGGUAUAGAGCAUGGGAUUGAAGAUCCUAUAGUCAUAGGUUCGAAUCCUAUUCUGGACA
rnacentral:tRNA from 1 species